rnacentral:sRNA from 1 species
UACAUAAGAGGCCGCAUCGAGUUGUGA